rnacentral:rRNA from 1 species
UACGGGGGGGGCAAGCGUUGUUCGGAAUCACUGGGCGUAAAGCGCACGUAGGCGGCUUGUUGAGUCAGGGGUGAAAUCCUGGAGCUCAACUCCAGAACUGCCUUUGAUACUGGCGAGCUUGAGUUCGGGAGAGGUGAGUGGAACUGCGAGUGUAGAGGUGAAAUUCGUAGAUAUUCGCAAGAACACCAGUGGCGAAGGCGGCUCACUGGCCCGAUACUGACGCUGAGGUGCGAAAGCGUGGGGAGCAAACAGG